ensembl:lincRNA
GCAGGAUGAGGCCCACAAGCGUUUAAUACGCGGAAUGAUAAGAGGGGGGACAACGAGCAGCUCAUUUCACUCUCCGUAGGGGAGGAGAGGAGCAUCUCAAUGGGAAAUAUGGGUGAAAAGACUGCGUGCAGCCCGAUACGGAGAAGCUGAAUGGAUGGGGCCACUGCAACGUCACGCGGAGCCGCAGCCAUGAAGCGGAGGACCAAAGCGCAAGACAACAUUCUGGAGUGCACGCAGCUCGCACGCGCAUAUUUAUCAUUACGAUCGGUCCUGAAUACCAUCGAUGCUCGAGGAUAGGAGUUGCAGUUCAGCCCUGGUUGGAUGGAAAUGGACGGGUGGCCGGAGGGGUUGGCUGUUAUCUUUGGUUAUCUAGCUGUAUGAGUGUUAUUCAUUCUUCAUAAAGCUAGAUAACCGAAAGUAACAAGAAUCCCAUUACACACCUGAAAGGCAUCACCCCACCUUGAGAUCUGUACUCCUCCCCUCUCCUCUUCUCCUCUUUUCCCUCCCAAGUCUCCCUCUCUCUCAGUUUCAAUCUCUGCAUCAUUUUAUUGUGAGAGCAAGCCACAAAAUGGCCUCCAUCAGUGCUGAUAUGGAAGAGACCAACCACCUUUGAUGCCAAGGAAAGGAAUGGGCGAAGAAGCAUGGCAGGUUAUAAUGUGGUUGUUGUCCUACUGGCAUUGCUGCUCCCCUCCCCUUCAUCGCUCGCCUGCCCCCUUCCUCUCGUCACGAGAUGCAGUUUGCACAAAGCCACCAUCUUAGAGCAUGCGGGCAUUACAUGGAAGUGGAAAAUAAGCAGAGUCAAACGGGGUAACGUAAAAUCCAUUCAAUGGAGGAUCAUUCAUACAGACGAUGGCGGAUGGAAUUAAACGGGUCUUUACUAUGCAUGCACCCCAACAUCAGAUAAAAAAGCACUUUAUGUUCUAUUUGGCUUCAAUCUUGGCAGUUGUAAAGCAGAUAUAACAGCCGUUGUUGGCUGUUUGCUGUGAGCCAAGAGUGUGUGUGUGUGUGUGUGUGUGUGGUAAAAAAAGUGUAUUAGAAUGCGUUUUAAAGUAUUACUGUUAGUCUUUCUUUGUACAGGUCUGGGUUAAAGUAUUUAUCAAACUGUGUUUUAGUAUAUACAUAUUUAUUUGUAUAUACUGUAUAUAUAUCUGAGUAAUUUUACAGUGAAUAAAGACCAUUUAAAAAACAUAAAUGAUUAGGUUUAGCCUUUUAAAUGAAUUUAAUACACAGUUACCCUAUCGUAUCUAGUCUAUCUUGGAACAAUCCUUAGCAUAAUGCACUUUUAUACCACAAACUGAUUACUAACUGAAAUCUAACAUAAAUGAUUAGAAAUAAGGCUCUGUAGAUUCUGCGAUGUAUGAGUGUGAGACCCACGGCAGCCGUGAACGAUACUGCACUCUGAUUGGACAGCUCAGUGUGUUGUGCGUCACACACUUGUUGGACAGAGAGCUGUUGUCUUUAAUUUCUAUGCAAUUGCGUUGGGCUUGCAAUCUUUUUGAAAAGAAUCAGAGCAGAUCAGAGCAGCUAUUUAUGACAGGAGAUGAAGAUUUAACCGGAUACGUUUGAAUAUUUCAUUCCAACUAAAACUGACUUCAACAAACAAACAAACUGUGAAGAUUUUAGUUUUUUAUUUUUGUUUCAACAAUCAAAAUGGAAACAAUCAUAAAGGGUAUUAAAUGCUCUCUAAAUGUCUCUCUGUAUUUGUGCUACAAUCAGUCUUAGCAGAAAUUGAAGAAUUAUCGAAUUUGCAAGUGUUUUAAAUAUAUAGUACAAUUAGAAGAGAAUUUUGCAAUCUGUUUUAUAAUAUUUUUCUUAAAAUAAUUUACAGUCAAACUGCAAUAUUUUAAGAGAAUUGUGCAAAAUAUUUUUAGAAUUGUUUCAUAAACAUUUUAAUGACCUCAGUAUAACUGAGAUUUUUGAAGAGAAUUUUAGAGUUAAUGUGUGCAAACAAAUUUAAAGGUAUUGUGUGCAAACAAUAAUAUAGUUAUUUUCUUAAUUUCAAUCCCUUUAGUAAAACCGAGAUAUCUGACGAGAAAUGUGCAAUCUAUUUUAUUAUAUUUUCCCUUAAAGUAAUUUUAAAUUACAUCAGUGAAAUUUAGAUAAUCAUUUUCACUUCCCUGCAAAGUUUGACAAAUCAAGUAAAUGUGAAGACAAUGGACUGAUAAAUGGGGCCUUUUACUAUGCAAUUUAACUUUACUGAUUUCCUAGAGAGUUGUUUUUAGCUAGUCAUAGUCCUGUAAUGAUAUAGAUCUUUUUUUUAACAUGUACUGCUGUAGUCUUAUUCUUUUCCUUAUUGUACGUUCUUUCAUGCUGCAGUUGAACACAAAUAUGAGAUAUUUUGUUCACUGUGACUUAUAUUUGGUAUUACCACAUGUGCCUUUUAACAAUGUCCUGUUAUGGAUAUUAAUAAAAGUUUACUUUGAA